CUCCCAUUCAACUAUUGCCUUCUCCCGUUCAAUUGCCACAUGAAGGAGUUCAACGGUAGCAGCCUUCUCGACGUUCGUGGCCAAAACUUUAUCGCUCCACAUUCGGUGGAAGUCUGCGAUCUUUCGAUAACCGCUCUCCAGUGCCGACAUGUCAUACGCCAGCUGAAAAGAAGAGAAAACAGUUAGGAAAAACAAGUUAGAAAAAACAAUUGAAAAGUAAAAUACCGACUUGCACUGAAGAUCAUCGAAUAGAAAGAUGAGAACAUUUCGAACACUAUCCAACUCUUUCUACUCUCCUUGUUAGUCGAAAAAAGUGCAGCCUCUAUAAGUCACUUGGGCAACUUUUGGUUCACCAAAGCCGACUCACCGACAAGAAUCCGAACAUCGAAAAGCUCCAUAAAGUCCGUUGACGGCCCAUCAUCGAUCGAAGUAGCCGGUGCUUUCCCUCGCUCUCCAAUAGGCAGUCGAUCACUUGAUCCCGCC
rnacentral:lncRNA from 1 species